rnacentral:misc_RNA from 1 species
CCUGAGUUAUCAACUCCCAAACCCAUGUGAACAUACCUACUGUUGCUUCGGCGGGAGUGCCCGCGGGCGCCAUCGUGGUGCCCCGGAUCAGGCGCCCGCCGAGGAACUUAACUCUUGUCUUCAGUUGUAUCUUCUGAGUAGUUUAUAAGCAAAUAAAUAA